UACGUAGGUUGCGAGCGUUGUCCGGAUUCACUGGGCGUAAAGCGCACGCAGGCGGCUUCGGAAGCCCAUGGUGAAAUCUCUCGGCCCAACCGAGAGGAGCCCGUGGGAACUCCGGAGCUUGAAGGCGGGAGAGGCGGAUGGAAUUUCCGGUGUAGCGGUAAAAUGCGUAGAUACCGGAAGGAACACCAGUGGCGAAAGCGAUCCGCUGGCCCACCCUUGACGCUCAUGUGCGAAAGCUAGGGGAGCGACCGGG
rnacentral:rRNA from 1 species